UUUUUAUUUUAAGUUCUAGAUAUUAAUUGCAUACAGGAAAAACCACCUCAAAUUUUUCAUUUCUACAAUUAGUAUUCUAAAGAAAUUCCUAACGGAAAUAUAAAACGCAAAAUCCUUUUUUUUUGGAUUUUUAAUUUAUUACACACCUUUUCAAAUGCAAAAUAGAAAGUACAAUAAUAAUAAAAAAAUUCGACAUUACUAUACAAAACUAAAAGAUAAAAGACGACAUAAAAAAAACAAACUCAAAACAUAAAAAUAAAAAUAAAAAAUGAAAAAUCUUCUUAAACAACUCCUGAAUGAGUGAUCCUGCCUGGAUGGUUCCGAGGUGUCUGUCAUGCUCAAACUCCGGCAAGUAAAUCCACGUCUGUAUGAGAAAACUUAAACCAACACUAUGUGAAACAAUAACAUUCCCUACUAGACACAUGCAAUACAUGGUUGAGGCUAAAUUAUUUAAUUACUGAUUUUAGAACCUAUGUGCAUUUUCCUCUUUUAAUUAGAAAAUUAUCUUGAAACGGGUCACGCGUACGUGUACCCAUUUGUUAGGCGCGUCAAAAAUCAUGUCACGCGUGCGUGUCCAUAAUUAAUAACGCUUUAUUAUUAUUAUUAUUAUUGUUUGGCCGAAGUUGCGCGAACGCAUACUCCGAUUUUGUUUUUAGGAAUUGUAAUUAUGUCAUGCGAACGUGUACGCAAUCACGAUGGUACAAGAACUCCAAUAUCUUAAUAUGCUACUUUUCCAGUCAUUUCUUUUUAAUACAUGUAUAGUAUUUAUGAAGGAAUUGACCUUUCGUACAUGAACUGAGAUUCAAUGUCAAAAAUGAUCGUUUAGUUUGAUGCGAGAUAUGUAUCAGUAAUGAGCUCCAUGUUAAUUACUUGUAAAAGCCAAGAUACUUCAAACCAAAAGUAAUCUUCAAAAUGCACCAUUUAUUUAUAUCUCAUUACAGCAAAAGACUCAUUUGUGUUUCCAUUUUCUGGUAAACUCAGCCUAUUAGUCAUUUGAAGAUUAUAUCUGGAUAAGAAAAUAUUUAUGUCUGGUUUUCUUAAUUUUAAAUAUGUAAAAAAGAUCUUUGGAAAACAUGGUCAAAUUUUGAGCUAUAUACACGAAAUUGAUUAUUCACAUAAGGAACAAGAACAUACAAACUUUGAAAUAUGUACCAACAUAAGUUUAUCUACUAUGGAUCAUCAUAACAAAACCAAAAAUGAAAAACGUAACAGUAACGCUAAAACUUUAGCUUGACCGAGUGAUUCGAAAAUUGAAAAACGAGAAAAAAGGAUGUUAAAGUAUUACCGAAACGGAAAAAAAAAUUGGAUUCCGUGGAGCACGUUACCCGCGUCGUGACAUCGCUCUCACAACAAAAAAGCUAUAAAGACAUUUCCAAAAUCUCAGUUUCUCACUUUCACCCAAAGUUCCGGUUCCGAACCAUCACUAUGAGUUCAAUAUUCCACAAUCCACUUUCCGAAAUCAGUUUUCCCCUCUCUCAAACCAGCAUUAAGAAUGAUAACAUAGAGAUUUACAGUCAUGAAGAAGAAGUGAAGUUUGGCUGUUUCUCUGUUGAAGAAGAGAACGAUAGGGGGGUUACUCUUUAGUCUCUACGGCGGAUUAGUUUCUAGGCAUAUAUGUUUUUAGGCUGUAUUUUUUUGUGUGUCCCCCUAUUUCAGUGUAUUUUCCUCUUUUUAAAUAGGUAGCAGAAAUGAAUUAC
rnacentral:lncRNA from 1 species